rnacentral:rRNA from 1 species
UGUUAAGAGACAGCAGUCGCCGCGGUAAUACGUAGGGUGCGAGCGUUAAUCGGAAUUACUGGGCGUAAAGCGUGCGCAGGCGGUUGUGUAAGACAGGUGUGAAAUCCCCGGGCUUAACCUGGGAACUGCGCUUGUGACUGCACAGCUAGAGUAUGGCAGAGGGGGGUGGAAUUCCACGUGUAGCAGUGAAAUGCGUAGAGAUGUGGAGGAACACCGAUGGCGAAGGCGGCUUACUGGCUCAUUCCAGACGCUGAGGUGCGAAAGCGUGGGGAGCAAACAGGAUUAGAUACCCGAGUAGUCCCUGUCUCUUAUAC